UACGUAGGGAGCAAGCGUUGUCCGGAAUCAUUGGGCGUAAAGCGCGCGUAGGUGGCUCUGUAAGUCCGUUGUGAAAGUCAAAGGCUCAACCUUUGAAAGCCGAUGGAUACUGCAGAGCUAGAGUACGGAAGAGGCGAGUGGAAUUCCUGGUGUAGCGGUGGAAUGCGCAGAUAUCAGGAGGAACACCGGUGGCGAAGGCGGGUCUCUGGGCCGAUACUGACGCUGAGGAGCGAAAAGGCGUGGGGAGCGAACAGG
rnacentral:rRNA from 1 species